UUAUCUACUUGCACUUUGAUGUGCUUUCAAGCUGCUAGGUUGCCAGGAGCUGGGACCGAGCAACGGGAGCUCACCCUGUCACGGGGAUUCGAACCGUCGACCUUCUGAUUGGCAAGUCCUAGGCUCUGUGGUUUAACCCACAGUGCCGCCCACAUUCCUUCUUUCCCUUAUAGCUCUGCUCAAUCACUGAGGUCUUUUGGGGAGCCACUGUUAGUCAUCCUCCAUGAGUCAGAUGCACAUUUCAUACCCCCCAAAAGACAUGUGUUCACUAUUGUGGGCCCAAUUUUGUGGUAUGCCCUUUUGGUUCAGAUUGGAAAGGCCCCCUGAUGGCACUUACUGAAGACUUAAUUGAGCUCUGAUUUUAUAGUUUCAACUCAUUUUUAGUCUUAUUAUAUUGAGAUUCUUAUACAAAUAGUACAAAUUGUUGGACUAAAUAGAUGAUGGUAGUAGUAGUAGUAGUAGUAAUUUAUUUGUACCCCGCCCAUCUGAGUGGGUUGCCCCAGCCACUCUGGGUGGCUUCCAGCAUAAACACAUAAUUAAAAUUAAACCUUAAAAAGCUUCCUUAUACAGGACUGCCCUCAGAUGUUUCCUAAAUAUUAUAUAAUUACUCAUCUCCUUAACUUCUGAUGGGAAGGCAUUCCAGUCGUGGAGUGUGCUCAGUUGCAAUGUGGUUGUGGUGCCCAUGACCAUUUCUCCAGUUUUCAGAUGUGACCAUGGGCCCAAAAAUGUUUGGUGAGCUUGUCUUUGGACAUAUACUGGAUGGGGGAGGGGAAUACCACAUCUGGGAAAUUUGAGGACAGGCAGGCAGGAAGUCUGCAUUUAUGGCAUCCUAGGACAGGGAUGUCAUGGUAGACAAUCCUUUCAAAAUUCCAGCUUCUAAGUAUAAACUCUGUUAAAAAAAAAAAAAGAACAAUCUCUUGAGAGGACGUUAGGCAGAUGCUGUACAUUAAAAAAACCCAACUGAUUUGUAACACUGAGUCAAAACUAAGGGACUCAGAAUAGUUUCACCCACGUUGACUCCCACAACAGGAAUAGUAGCUUCUUAGUCAUAUGCCCAAUGAAAUAAAAAAGUGGCAAAUACAUCUUUCUUUUCCAUAUAUUGAACUACCAGUAGCUAGAUCCUUGGCUGAAAUAUUGUCUCUGCCUUGAACAUUGCCUCUGCCUUGAACUCAGUUUUGAUGGCCUUAGGAAUUUCACAUGGUCCCUGUGUCAAACUGGCACCAAUAGAAGCUUACCUAGAUAUGCAAAGAGCAGCUUAAGUGGGGCAAUUAUUGCCAGGACUGGGGCAGCUUCUCUUUCACCACAGUCCUGAGGUGGCUCAGGUUUCCUAUGAAGCUGCAAUUUAUAUAACAAAAACAUGUAUGCUAAUUGCAUUCAGUUUCACCACUACUGUAGUUGCCCUCCACCAGCAACAUGGGGGCAAUUUAAUUUGCAGGGUUCCUGUAAGGCAUGGGUAGGGAACCUUAGACCCAGGGACCAGAUACAACCUCUAGGCCUCUCUAUACUGCUCCCAGGACUCUACUUAGCUCACGUCACUAUCCCAGGCCACAUCUUUCAAUGAACCUCCUCUGAAAAAGUUUCCUUGCCCUGAAGGCAGGAGGGAGGGAUUCUGCCCUUUGUGGACUUCUCUUUGCUCCUUUCUGCUACUGGACCCCAAGCAUUGUCUCUAAAACUUUCCAGUCUUCCAGCUCUCUUAAACUGCUCCAGACCUUUCUUUCUCUUGUAGCUGUACGAGUCUUAACUUACUGCUAUCCUAUUGUCCACUUUGACCUACAUACUAUAUUUUCACUUCUUCUAACGUUUUAGCAAAUCGGAAGAGAAGACAGUAGAGUUACUAUUUUGGCUUAAUUGCCAUGUUCCUGGGCUGAAUCAUUGACCCCUCUUUACACUUUUGACCCUCUUAUGCAGAACUUCUCUUUUUGUACUUUAAACCUUCCUGUGCACUUUUGUCCCUCCUGUGCAGAACGGUAACAAUUUUACAACUCAAAACCAAACACAAAAUGGCUUAGAGUCCUAAUUCUUCAGAUUUGGUCAUGUGGAAUGUCACAGCGGUGUGGGCAAGUGUGUGCUUUGUACUCACUGUGUAGCAGAACCUUCUGUUCCACCUACAAUAACCCUAUGAUAAUAGCUUCUUAUUGACUUUUCUGGCAAUAAUAACCUUAAUUCCUAGGCUUUUUUAAAAAAAUCUAAAUUGUAAUUUAAAAAAAAAGUUGCCCUUUCUUUUAAAUUUAGUCUCUUAAGUUGUAUGAGGAAGCCACAACAGCAACAUUAUCUGAAGCAAUAUAGAAAAGAUGGAAGAAAAAUAGAGUUUCCUUUACAGAAUCCUUUUAAUGUCUUUUUUGCUACAGAUGCCACAACAUGACACACAGGAGGGUAUAACCAACAUGGUGUAAAUCUCAUAAAGAAAAUGCUUCUCCCAAAGAUGACAGGACUUUUAAUUACCAGCAGAUGAAUCACUAGCAUUGUGUUUAUAAAGUCAUUCAAUUUUUGGAGUGAAAUGUAUCCUGCCCCCCAUUUUCAUGAGAUGCUUUUAUGGAGAGGGAAAUGAAGAGACAGUGGCUUAGAAGGUACCUCUGCUUAAGGUAAGUGCAAUAUUGCAAAAUAUCAAAUGUUGGCAAGAAGAAGAUGCAGGGCACAACACGUAGUCUUCCAAGGCAGCUAUCCCUUGAAGGGACAGCUGCUCCUUACUCUUACGAGGUUCCCCUUGCAUUCAGUGGCUUGAUGGUCUGUGUCAAGGGUGAUAGUGAUUUGGUGCAAGGGAGGCUCACAUAUCAUUUCCCAUUUCACUGGAGUAAGCAGACAGGAAAGGUAAAGCCUACAAGUGCUAUGGAGCCACAGUGCUGUGGAAUGAGACAUGCUAAUCUACUAUAGGCAACUAACUGUAGUAGAAGUGGAAAUUAUUACCAUAUAAUAUGGUUUUCUCCAUAGUGGUUUCCCAACUGUGGAAUGCCUCUCUGGUGAGGUGCAUCUAUCUCCCUCAUUAUUAACUUUAACAAACAUUCCUGUUUUCCCAGGUUUUUGGUAGCUGAAAGCUACUCUUCCUGGGAACGUUGAAAUUAUUGGCUGUGAGGGUAUGUGACUGGGUUUUUGUUUGUUUGUUUGUUUGUUUGUUUGUUUGUUUGUUUGAAAUGUCUCCUUUGGGAGGAAGAGUGAAAGAGAAAUUAAGUGAGUAAGGAAAGUUGACUUUCCUAAACUGCUGAGUGUUGUAUGUGCUAAAUUCUGGCUUCAUUCAAUUGGCCUCAGUUGAACAAAGCCCACACAGUAUAGACAGUCAGAGUGUGCGAUAGAGUACUGCUUGCCCUAGAAUACAAAAAAACCCCUCUUCCCAACUAGUUCUAUGUGCUCAGUAAGCUUUCGGACAUGUUCCUUGAAAAGCAACAGUGAUAAAAGGUAGUUUCAAAACACAUUAGGGAAGUCAUCAGUCCUUGCAGCUGGAUUUCUCUGUGUUUUUCGCCCCCUCUGCAGAUUUGUACAAUUUUAGAUCUGCUUACACUUUUUGUCUCUGAGCCACACCCCAUCAGUUUGUCCUUCUAAGUUUCUGAUGCCUAUUCCACGCCUAUUAUAAUGGUACCAAGUUUUUGUUUGUUUAGGUCUCUAGAGGCCAAAUCACUUUUUGUGACGGUAUUAUCAGAUGCCUAGAUAUUAUCAGAUGGAGAGACAUUAUAUUAUACAUUGCGUAGGUUUCCCAUGUCAAAAAUGUAUUUUAAAAAUAAGGGACUAUCCUCAAUGCAAAACUAGGAUUCAAACAGCAAUUCUACAUAGCCACAGGAAGGGAUGAGCAUUACAGCUGGUCCCGUUGCUUGGAAUUUUGCAAUGUCUUUUCAGUUCAUCUGCUUUUUCCAGUAUUAGUUAGUUUUGAAAUGCAGCAUUAGAGUCCAGAUUAAAAAGCGUAGCUGAGUUCAGUUUCCAAAGAGUGACAUUUUGGGAGUGAGGUUUCAGUUGGAAUGUACACAAAACAUCUACACAAAACAUACCCUAUGUUUAUCAGUGCAAAAAUGGCUCGCUGCUAUUUUGUUGUAAUUUGGGCCAGCACACCCAUGAGACAAAGUGAGGUGACUGCCUCAGGCAGCAGAUCCCAAUGUCAAUCUUUCUUCCCCAGUUGUUCCUUCACUACUUCUUCCAUGGAGAGAAGGGGCAGUGCCAUUUUGGGGACUGCCUCAUGGGCCAAAAGGUAUUGGGAUGGCCCUGGUUGCAAUUGUCCCAUUCCCUUCAUUUUAAGAUCUUUCAAGUUUAAUUCCGCUCUGCCACAAAGCCGAACUUCUGCCAUGAUGAAAAUGUACAACCUUGGAUGUUUCCUUUCUUAUCCAAGUUUUUAACAGCAAUAUUGCCAGCAUCAGAUUUCAUUUAUCCUGGAGCCUAGAUUAUUGGAUUUAUUGAUCCAUUUUAGAGCUAAUCGCUCUACUGUGUAAUUUAAGGAGAUGUGCCAUUACUUGUUGUCAUGGAAUUAAUCCUCCCCUCCCUCCCCCACUGCCAAACAUCAGGAUAAAUCCAUCUAUUGUACACACUACAGUACAGUAAUUCCAUUUGUAAGGUUGUGUAGCUGGGAGAUAAGUCCAUCUUCAUGCUGUCUGUCAGAUUAGAGAACAUUUAAGAUUUCCUAUCUUACUUCAGAUGCUGCUCAUCAACAAUUAGCAUUCUGCUCUUCUGAAAAAAAGGACUAACCUCUUAGCCCUCAUCUGCAACUGAAACCAAGGUCAAGUACAAGCAACUGGAUUUCCUCACCUUCGUCCCUGGUUUCUUUGACACCUUUCCCCACUACUUUUUCACUGACCUCACUGUCUAAGUUGUACACUUUAGGGGACAGAAACCGCCUUUUGCUUGUAGUAAUCUGUAAAUUGGAUCACGCUCUUUUGAGUAAGGUGGUUGGUAGUUAAGGCAAGGCUUGCUGACUAGAGCUGUUGAUUUGUUUGGAUUUGCUUUGGGGCACUGACUUUUUUUUUAAGACCUCCUAGAGAAGGCAUUUGUUUUUCUGAAUGUUUGCUGUUGUGAUUUCAGUGUUUUUUUAAUGAUAAGUUAUUCUGAACAAAGAAGAAGGAAUUCAACCAUGUGUUAUUACAAAUAUUCCAUCUGAGCAGGCAUAUCAGUGUGUAAGAAAAGUAAGGAAAUGAACCAGAUCGAUUUGGGGGAGGGUGUUCCCCCCAGGGGUGUAUCAUGGGUUGCCAGCAUCUGGGGCCAUGCAGAGAAGAGAUGUGAGGGAGGGAAACAGAUGGAGUACGCAUGCACAUUUAAUGCCUAACGGCAUGACCCAGGAAAUUGCAGCUGCAGAUAUAAGAAAAGAAAAAUUGUUCCAUUGUCUGGAGCGGUCAUUUCCUGGUUCGCAUGGAAAAGCUGUUUUCAGUGGAGACCAGCGACAGAAGCACACAGCUGUAUUGAGGCAGCACUGGGUGUUGAACAUUUGCGCCCCCUAAUGAUUUUGCUCCCGGAGAAACCGCCCCUGUGGCACCCCCAUGCUACACCACUGCUUUCCCAGCUUCUUGAGUCAAAACACAAUGUCGUUAUACAUCCCAUAGGAUUCUUCAUUGCAUGGGGUUGUACUAGAUCACCCUUCCGAUUCUAUGAUUCUUUAUGAUGUACUGGUUGUUUUCCCUAUCUCACAUUAAGAGUUCAUAUAUUAGCCACUCUUAUUUUCCAAUUAUGCUGUAAAAGCACUACACCAGUUGACGACCCUCAAUUCAAAGGCUGUAAUCUUGAGAGCAAAUUAAAAGGUAUGUUGCUAACACACACACACACACACACACACACACACACAACUAUAGUCAGUGUAUUAUAAAUGCAAUAAAUAUUUAAGCAGCUGGCAUGAAGCAGAUCAUUAUUGCCUCAAAGAACUUCUUUUUUUAUGAAGUGUGAUUUAUCAGCACUUUAGUUUCUUUAAAGUGAGCAUUCAUUUGCAGAUGACUGCUACUAGUCUUUUCUCCCUAGGUGCAGUGGUUCUAAUACUGCAGUCUAUAAUGAUGAUGGGGUGUCAUUUUUUGCCUACAUAAAAACAUCCUUGAUUACAGCAGGAGAAUUGUUGGUACACAGCAAAGAUUUCUAGCCACUCACCUUCUGUUAGCCUAAGAGGUGGAAAUCAUCAGUUCAGAGAUGUACCUACCUAAUCAACAGUAAAAUUAGUUUCCACACACUGUACUGAGCACAGAUUCAGCAAGCUGUUUGCCAGAGAUUAGGUGAGCAUUCCCACCCCCAAAAAAGAAAAAGAAAAAGAAAAAACGGGACGCAAUUGUAAUCUUACAUUCUCUCUGCAGAGCGUAGCUGUAAGCCACAGCAAAAUGAAUGCUAGCUUUUUGAUUGCUUGGUGAAUGGCUCCCAGUGCAUAAGAGAACUGGUGACAUACACAUGUAGGCAGGGGCUCGGCAAGCAAACCUCAGUUAGGUGAGAAAGAGCCUCUUGAUCCUACAAAGUAAGGCAAUGAGUGCAUUACACAUGGGACCCGCAGCGAAAAAUUGUAGUGUGGCAUUGCUGUAGUGUUCUAAAUAGUCAGACAUGCCCUUCUCUAGGACACUCCAUUCCAUUCUCUUUCCAAUCCAGUCAGCAUUUAAUGAUCACUGAACAUCUCAGUUCUCAUUGGACCAUUUUUUUUAGGGAGGUGGGAGCUCUGGGUCUUUUGGAAAGUUUCCCCCCUCUACUUCUGCAAACCUUAGGGUUGUCCUAAGUCUGCUAAUGCUUCUCUCUUGUGUAAUUAUUCAGUUCUUGGGUUAUGUCUUGAGAAGCACAAAACUCCAAGUCUGGAUGUUCUAUGUUAAGGGUGCCAGGUGCAUUGAGUUACCAUAGCAACACCAGCAAUACUGGUUGAGUGUAUGACUUGCUGAGUCAUACACCCUCCCAUUGGAUCCCAUUGGAUCAAAAAAUAUGCCUAUGUAGAAAUGGGUAUAAUAGUCUCUAGGGUGUUGCUUUCAUUAUGUCUUGUGCUGAUGUUGUGCCCUCUCUUGUUUGCUGUCAGGGUGUGACUCUGAAUUUGUGAGAGUCAGGGGAAGAGGCUGUGGGUUUUAAACAGUAGUGUUAGCUACCAUGGGGAGAGUGUUAGUAGAUUUUUUCUGUACAUAUGCAUCUUUACUUCAGAAGCCAGAAGAACUGUAUAUAGUAGAUAGUAUUGGGAUUAUGCUCCUCCCGAGCUGCAGAUAUGUGGGAUUGUUACAUGUCACAUGUCUGUUUACAUUCCAGCACAGAUUGCUAGAGUCCCGUGAGCAGAACAUCCACUCUGUAUUACCUUUGUUUUUCUCUCUCCGAGAAGAACGACAAGGAGAGAGGCCAUGUUUUUCUUUGUCCUGAUUUAUGUAUAAUAAAUGUGUAGUUUAGUACAGUAUCCACACCUCGAGCCUGAUCUGUUGUGCAGUUUACACUGUGCUCCUGCUAACUAGACGCUCCGGCUGGGGCCAAGCCAGCUGGCUUUCCAUCCCAUGGUUCCAACAGAUAGUCGUGUUUAGCUUUGUCCUGUGUCUGGAGACAAUAAACACUUAAUUUAAUGCAGAGUGGAUCGGAACCCAAAUUACAGAUAAAAAGGGAGAGAGCCCAGUGCAACACAGAACAGUUUUUAAAAAACUGCAUAGUAACAAGGCUAACAAUACCUUGGGGACCACGCACACCCUUUAGCUUUUACUGUCCAUGUGCUGGAACAUUUUCCAUUCCUUAGAGACAUUCACACUCAAAAAAGAAAGGUAUGUGGGAAUUUUAAGACCCUGUUGUCACUGUAUCCUUCAGGUAUUUGCCCAUCUGUGCAAUAUUUGACUGACCAGGACACUUUUGAUUCCAUUCUGUCAAGGUUCUUUGCAAAAGCAGCUAUCCUUCAGAAGUUAGCCUUUAUUUUUAUUUAGUGUCAUGUCAAGAAUCUAAAGCGUAGUGAGGGUUGUUGCUCCGUGUGUGUAUGUGUGUGUGUUUUGCAGGAUAAAUAAACAGAAUUGAUGGAUUAAUGCCGACAUAAAAUGUACAUCUCUCCUAUGACGUUUGAGAAGUCUCUAAACUCAUUUGGAUUUAGGAACUCUGUCCUUGGUGAUCUGUGCUUUUCCUGCCAGUAAAAUUCCAUUUAGUCUUUAGUCCACACACUAAUCCAAGCUUUGGAAGGGUUUUCUCCAUUUCCACUUGUAGACUUAAACUCCUGUCAAGUAUAUUGUUCGUUCUAAUUCUUUAGUUCUUAUUUAUCACUGUGUCCUAGUGUAGAUAAAAUACCUACAUUAUUCCUUUUUGUCGGCAGUAGGGGUGGGGAUUAAAUAGUGUUUCAUAGGACUUCAGCCUUUGACAUGCUUUCUAAAUGAAUCUUUGGGAUUCGAGGCCAACUGCUUGUGAGAAAUUUAUGAGUAACAAAUAACAUGUUUAAAAGCUGUUAUUUUGGCCUGUUAGAUUUAUACUGGUUUUCAAAAGGCCUGGACAAUUUUAUUGCCUAUUACACAUUAUGGCACCACUUUGGGACACAGCAUUAUCUAACAUUCAUUCUUUCCUUUCCUUUUCCUUUCCUUUCCUUUCCUUCCUUCCUUUUUUUUACAGAGGAGACAUGGGAAAUACAAGACUGGCAAUCAUUUUUAAUUUCUUUUGUACCAGCAUUAAAAAAUAAAUAAACCCAGUGGGUAGGUAGUCUACUUAUAAAUUGAACAUAAUGAGAUUUGCAGUUGUUUCUUAUUAUUUUUAAUGGGUUGAAUCUAGAUGUUUCCCCCACCCGUGGGGAUGAGAGAAACUCCCCUCACCUCACUUGUCCUCUCCUCCCUCCCCACCCACCCCCAGCAGGAUCACUAUGUUGGAUCAAAACUUCCCCAUGAAUAGAAGAAACAUUUCCAUCCACAGAAGGUAUAGUCUGGAUCCACGCCAAUUAAUUUAUUUAUCAAAUUUCUGACUCAUAUUUUCUCAGAGAAUACUCCCAGUUGCAGAAUUCACAUGGCAGGAGUGCUUAGAGCUAAUGAUGUAUUAUUUUCCUCCUGAAUAUUAAAAAAAGAAAGACUUACACGAUUGCAAUAGACAAAAACGUGAGUGAAAAGAAUGCAAUAGUUCUGAACUGACACAAAAGAAAGUUAAAACCAACAAGCAGAUGACUACAGUUGGUUUAACAAAAUGAAUGGCAAUAGAAUUAUGACCCUUCAUUUGAAAUGAAUGAUGGGAUAUUUGCAUUUAAGGCUCUUUCCAUGAUCACAGCUCUAGAUGUUCACUCUGAUAGCGUGUUUCCAUUCAUUCCCUCCUCCCACACCAUCCAAUACAGGGAGUGAAUUCCACUGAAUCCGAAGAACAGUAAUAGCUUUAGCUUCUAAUUAACUGUAGAUUCAGAAAUAAAUACCAAUCUAAUAAUGUGCAGUUAUUUAUGAUGAUUGAUUACAGUAUUGAUAAUAUAAACAUAAUUUUCUCAGCCUGCCAAAAAGAAGUUUAAUUACUAAAAGAAAAAAAUUGAACAGUAAAAUAUCUUGCAACUUAGCUUGUUAGAACAAUGCAAUUAUUCUGUUGGAAGUCCAAUCCAUCAUGGAAGUUUUCCACAAUCUUAGUUCAGUUCAUAUUCUGAAUAAAAAGUUUGGUAUGUUGAACAAACUGUGGAUCUCACACAAACACAAAAAAACACACAGAGAGAGACUUGCUCAGAACCUAUGAGCUUUCCCCCCUUGUUGACAGAAAGGUCCCCCACCCAAUUCACAGGAUUAUCAUUUCAGAGGUUCCUGAGCUGAACUGGACCACAUAAAAGUGGCCGCCAAGUGACUCAGAUUGGAAUAUAGCCCUUUACAGAUGCCCACACUCAGUGCAUGGAUGUCAAGGACCAGUAGGGUAGAAGUUGUUGGGGGAAGGUCUAAGAAUGCCGCUCUGCUGAACCUUAUACACAAGGCUAGCAAGUCACAGAUUGCAUGUGAAUAAAGCAAAGCAAAUUGGCUUGACUAGGAAUAAACAUCCUGUUUUCUUAAAAGCACAAGAAGAUCCCUACUUGAUCAGGUAAAAGGCCCAUCUAAUUUAGCAUCCGGUUCUCACAGUGGCUAACCAGAUACUUAUGGGAAGCCCACAAGCAAGACCUGAGCACCCACUGUGACCAUCCAUGAGAGCAUGCAGGAUGUAGCCUGCAUUAAGAAAUGAGUGAGUUCUGACUGCUCAGUUCUGUUCUUUUCCCUCUGAGAUCCUCAGUAGGAGGUAAUAUUUCUUGGAAGGCAGUAGCCGAAGAGUAAUACCAAAGGAAGACAGAGGAGAGAAACCUCUGCUUGAACUUUCCUUGUGUCUCUUGCUUCUGUUCCUCACACCACUCUGACGUGCUUUUAUUGCAAGGGUGUUUCUAUUAAGCCACUUGUCCAUCUUUGAGUCUCUCACACCUGGUGCUGAUCGGUUUCACUAGAUCUCCACAUGGUCGAGUAUGGUAGGUUUUUUAUGCUGAUGAGAGCCCAUAAAACCUAAUAUGCGCUGUAUGUAAAUGGGAUCUUUUUGUUACAUUUUAUGUGACAGGAAAGGAAUGGAUGAUUCGAAAGGCAAUUAUCUGAGUGUUUAUUUUCAUUUUGUAAACAAUUACAGGGUUCGGAGGAGGAGGAGGUGGUUUCAUGCAGCCCAUUGUACAUGCCCAGAGCUUUCUUAUUUCACUUUUGCCCUUUUUGUUACAAUAUACAGUCAUACCCCAGGUUACGAACGCUGCAGGUUGCGCGUUUUCAGGUUGUGGACCUGGAAGUACUGGAAUGGGUUACUUCUGGGUUUUGGCGCUCGCUCAUGCGCAGAAGUGCAGAAUCACGUCACAAGCAUAUGCAGACGUGGCACUUCAGGUUGCGAACACUGCGGGUUGCAAACGUGCCUCUUGCACGGAUCACGUUUGCAACCAGAGGUAUGACUGUAUAUAUUACUUGGAGUAAGGUAGAUUCUGCCAACCUAAAUUAUACUUAUGGGAGGAAAUAUAGUAUGUAACCAAUGCCCCCUUUGUGCAGGGGUGUAUCUCUGCAUACUGUUAUUAGUGGUGUAUUGUUCAUCCCUCUCAUACAGGUAAAAAGGUAAAAGUAAAGACCUCUGGAUGGUUAAGUCCAGUCAAAGGCGACUAUGGGGUGUAGUGCUUAUCUCACUUUCGGACCAAGGGAGCUGGCUUUUGUGCACAGACAGCUUUCCAGAUUAUGUGGCCAGCAUGACUAAACCGCUCCUAGUGCAACGGAACACUGUGAUGGAAACCAGAGAGCACGGAAACGCCAUUUACCUUCCCGCCACAGCGGUACCUGUUUAUCUACUUGCAAUGGCAUGCUUUUGAACUGCUAGGUUGGCAGAAACUGGGACAGAGCAGCAGGAACUUAUCCCGUCGCACAGAUUUGAACUGCCGACCUUUUGAUCAGCAAGCCCAAGAGGCUCAGUGGUUUAGACCACAGCACCACCGGCUUCCCUUUCUCUAAUACAGAAAUAGCCAACAUGGUAGUGUUGGACCCCAAUGCUCAUUAGCCCCAGCCAGCGUUGCUGGAUGAUGGGAACUGCAGUCCAGCAACAUCUGGAAUACACCAUGUUGUCUAUUCUUGGUCUAAUAGAUCACUGAUGAGCCUCCGGAUGGAUGAGCAACAAAACUAUAUCAAAGGGCUGGGCAAAGGAAGUCCUUCCACUAUCAUAACCCAAUCCAUAGAAUGUUGGGCUUCUAGAUGGUGAUAUCUCCAGGAAAGAGAGAUAAUUCUCACUUAUUUUCAUUUUUUAAAAAAUAAUAUUUAUUGAGAAUUUAAAAUUACGGAAAUAGAGAAGAAGAAAAAAGGAAAAAGAAAAAAGGUAGACAAAAAGAGAAAUUAAACAAUACAAGUCAAUAAAAAGAAAAAACAAACAAAACAAAACAAAACACACAAUACAUCAAAACCAAAAACAAAAAUAAACAAAUCCAAUAUUCCCAAAUCUUUGUCUUCCGUUAACUUGUUUCAUCAACCUCCUCACACCUCCCUUUUUUGUAUUCUAGUUAUUAAUUAUCUCAGGAAAUCCUUUUCAUCUUUCACUAUAUUCUGUCAUUAAAUUACCUUAAUUUAUUUUAACCUUAUCUUACCAUAAAAAGCCCUAAAGCUUAAAACUUAUUUAUACAUAAUUCUUUUUAGCAUUUCUACUAAAGCCAAAUAGUUUCAUUCCAACAUUUUUCUAAUACUCAUUAAUUUUACAAUCAUUUUCUAAAUGAAUUUUUAAAACUUUCUUCCAAUCUUCAUCCAUCGUCUCUUCUUCCUGGUCUCGGGUUUUAUCAGUCCUUUCUAUCCCUUCCAUCUAGUCCAUCAACCUGGUGACCUUCUAUCCGAGGCUCUUAAGUCUUUUCCAUGUCCCUUCUGCAGGUCUUCUUCAUAUUUAUACCUGCACUUUACUUUGUCUUCUGCUGAUCUUAUUCUUAAUUUCCUUCCUUUCUCUCGGGGGAGACUCCAACUUGACAAUAUCUUUAUCCCUUCUCAACAAGUCAGCCCAUUCUCCAUAGUCAGCACUGAAAUCCAAAAGAUAUUUGAAGGCAUGUUUCAAAGUCCCUCCAAGGUUAAGGGCCCCCACAACUCCAAACUCCCCCUGGCCCAAAACCAGAUCCGAAAAGUCAAAACAUCCCUGCAUAGGGGGAUCUAUCCAACUUCCCAUCUCCAGACCAAACAGUACUCCAUCUCUCCAAAUCUGACUUUCUCCAGGUUCAGUCGUCAAAAACAACAACUUAUGUUCCUGCAAGGCCGCAGCUCUCUCCAUUUCUAUUACUUGAGGUUCAGCAACAACCUCCUCCUUUAUCUUCUUCACAACUUGCUCUGUCAAAGCACAUUCCUGGGUUGGUUCCUGAGUGGUUUCUAUAUAGGUAUUCACUGUUUGUCCAAAAUUGCCAACUGCAACAGUCAUCAAAUCCAUCUUCUCAUGUAGCUGUUCCAGUAAAGCACUUGUCUUGCAAAAAGCAAGCACUAAAGCUUCUUCUGGGCACAUUCUUGUUCAAGGUAAAUGUCUGGUCUCAUGAUCUUUAAUGUCUACAGCUGCAGAAUUCCCCAGAUCGACUCCAGCAACAGUUUCACAAGCUCCCUCUAGAGGAAACAAUUUCUGUUUGUAUCCGUCUUUUUAAAAGCAGAUCUAGCAACAAAAUUCCUUUCGUUUUUCAGAUAUUUUGUUCCUUUUAAGUGCAAAAGGGAACAUUGGAAUCAAUAUGUUUCUCUUUUUUAACUAUCUGUCAAAAACGUUUUAUCCACAGUCAAUGAACUUCCCCAAAGCGUCUGUCCCUGACACCCCGCUCCCAGGUUCAAGACGGUGGAAAUUUAUCUUUCUUUACUCUCUCUUCUGCAGGUUUAAACAGUCUAAGAUUUCCCCCCUCUUCUCCUGCUUCCAAGGGGGGUUUAGUAAUUUUAACUGAUGGAAAUUUAGUCCUUUACAAACGACUUUCCAGACUCUAGCUUGCAAUGUCUUUGCUUCAAUCUAUUUACAAAAGCGGAAGGCGGACUUCCUGUUUAGACCUUCCCGCUUCGGUGCCAAAUUAAAAAGUUUCAUAGUCCAAUUUUCCGUUCUACUCAUGGGCAGUUGUUUAGAAUCCAAUUGUCCACAGGAAAAAGUCAGCGCUCUCCGGCAACAGCAAUGUGGCUUCACUCCGGAUAAUUCUCACUUAUUUUCAGGGGGCAAGGAGAAAUAGCAGGAAUGACUUUUCUCGCACAUAUAUAUAUAAUUGUUCACCAUCUACCCCUCCCCACAAACAAUUGCCCUGGAGUGAUGCUACUGCACUACAACAUAGCAUAAUUCCAGGAAUGUUGCUGGGAGUGGGGGAUAUACAAUCCUCCACUGACCAGUAGAGUUCUUCCUGGGGCAUCGUUACAGAAGAAAGGAUGCAUAGGAGUGCUACUGGUGUCACUUGAAUAGGGGCCCAAAAAUAAAAGGGGAAAGGAAAAAUCAUUUCUUACCACUUUUGAGUCAAUCCUUUUGAGGGUUGACUCCCUCAAAAGAAAAGUCAGUGAAACUUCUGCUGAAAUUAGCCAUCCGUUCCCAGGAGGACUUUUCCUUCACCCUCACCAUGAUUUGUGAGGGGGGGGGGCCUCAAAAAAGAAAAAAAGGAGUAUCAGCACAGUGGUUGGUCUCGGUAAAGGAAUCCUUAACCAAGAGCAUUUCCCACAAGUUCAUUCCCUGUUGUUUUAAGCACAACAAGGUAUUGAUAUGAAGCAAACUUCAAUAGCAUCAGAUGAACCACUGAGCUCCUGAAAAGUGGAGAGGGGCGUUUCACUGAAGGGCAUCAAAAGUCUGUGUAGGGGGAAAAAAUGCUUAUCAUAACAUUUCUAACAACUUAAUUAGAGCAGGCAAACAGGAAUCCAUCAGCAGAGGGUGAAUUUAAUUGGACUGGCACAGCUAAGAAGAUGGGAGGAAUUGCAUCUUUCCAUCUAAACGAUGUAGUUUAAAGUGGGAAAAAAAGUUGUCAAGAAACUUUAGCAGAAGUCUCUCUUGCUAUUUUUUGCAGUGUCAUCAAGAAUAACAGAAAGCAAUGUGUUAGACAUGAAAGAACUGUUGUAAAGAGAAUUGGGAUUAAAAAUGUAGUGUUCUGCCUUUGAGACAGAUGACUCAUAAUGUUGUCUUUGACUAGCCCUGUUCAUUAAGACAUCAUUCUGUAAACUUAAAAACAGUUGAGUUUCUCCUGCAGUGUGAGCCUAUGCAUGUCUACUCAGAAGGAGGCCUCACUGAAUUCGGUUAGAAUUACUCCAAGGUAAGUAACUGCCUAAGAUGUUCUAGAAGUUCUGAUCCAGAAAGUGUUUAAAAUAACUGAUACAGUUGCAGAUGUGUCUGCUGUCUACAUCUACAGAAUGAUGCUUGUGAACUAACUGAAUGCAACUUGGAUGUGAUGCCAGCUCCUUCAUUGUUUGUGCAGGAUUGUCCCAAGGAUAUGUUCUGCCUGAGACAAAGGACAUUGCCUUACAUCCAGUAUGAAGACUUGACAACAGACAUUGCUAAAAAAAAAUUAUACAG
rnacentral:lncRNA from 1 species